rnacentral:piRNA from 2 species
UAGUGACUCAUGAAACCAGGGGCUG